rnacentral:snoRNA from 1 species
GUUGCUUCAUAAUGGUGAAGUCUCUGUUUGAAUUAGUGAGAGAUUUCAAGUUUCCCGAAGCAUAGAGAAAUUAGUCAGUUUUAAACAGUGCGGUGUUUUUCUUGUGUCACCGUGCUACCUGUCUACUGCUACACUU